AGAGAAAACAAAGCAAUCCAACAAACUCAGCGGGGACACUGACUGCCACAGCAAGGACCCAAAGGAACAAGGAGUAGAUCUAGAAGUUGAAGUAUAGGGCAGUGUACAACCUGUAUAACUGUUCAUGAGCUCCAGAGGAGCAGAAAUAAAGAGAUUGAUGAAAUACCAGAAGAAGGGUGCUACCCACUGCUGGCAGAUAUGUGGACCCUGCUGGUAAGAAGAUGGGCAGACAUUCUGCAGAGCACUCUGUAGCAGGGAUUGAACUCAGGACGUUGUGCUUGCCAGGAAGGCACUUAUUCUACUGAGCUAUCUCUCCAGCCCAAUUUUCCUGAUUUUGUUCCAAUCAAGUCACCACCCUAACUGAUAUACAAUAGCACCACCUCCAAUGCUCCCAUUUGAUCAAGACUGGAGUGACAAAGAGAGGAAAUCCAAUCAACCUGGAGCAGUGUCUGAAAUCCUGCCCACCUGAGAGAAGGCCUAAAGUGAUGAGAAGACAUCCUCCUGGGAAAUGGGCUCACUAGCAGAGGGAUGCACUUCACUGACCAGCCCCCCAUGCUGGUAGAGAGUGGGUGAAGUACAAAUUAUCAUCUAGGAUUUCACAAGAACAGGGAAAACUGGAGAUCCAGAGAGUCAAAAGAAUAAUGGGAUUUACCAGUGGGUCUUGGGUCCCAUUCUCCACAGUGGCCAUUUCAGGUCUUAAUCCCUGACCCUGAAGUGCCCAAGCCCAUCUUAGCUAGGAGCCAAGGUCAGGUUGCCAGUUCACAGUAGAGAACAGAGAUUAAGACCCAAGGAACGGAGGAGAAGAACUGACCUGAGAACACUUGUCACUGUGGCUCGUGAGCCAGAGCCAGACAGUCAAGGAGGCCAUAAAUACUGUGCUGAACCUUCAGGACAGCACCAGGUCCUGGCUCCCAAGUUCAACUUCCUCUUCCUCAGCUAUCACGGAUAAGCCUCUUCCAGACAUCAGCACUGUCACUUUCCUUAAACAAGGUUUUAAUGGAUGGGGUACCUAGGAAAAAUGAGCACUCUGGGUACA